GAUGAACGCUGGCUUCGUGCCUAAUACAUGCAAGUCGAGCGAACGGACGAGAAGCUUGCUUCUCUGAUGUUAGCGGCGGACGGGUGAGUAACACGUGGAUAACCUACCUAUAAGACUGGGAUAACUUCGGGAAACCGGAGCUAAUACCGGAUAAUAUUUUGAACCGCAUGGUUCAAAAGUAAAAGACGGUCUUGCUGUCACUCAUAGAUGGAUCCGCGCUGCAUUAGCUAGUUGGUAAGGUAACGGCUUACCAAGGCAACGAUGCAUAGCCGACCUGAGAGGGUGAUCGGCCACACUGGAACUGAGACACGGUCCAGACUCCUACGGGAGGCAGCAGUAGGGAAUCUUCCGCAAUGGGCGAAAGCCUGACGGAGCAACGCCGCGUGAGUGAUGAAGGUCUUCGGAUCGUAAAACUCUGUUAUUAGGGAAGAACAUAUGUGUAAGUAACUGUGCACAUCUUGACGGUACCUAAUCAGAAAGCCACGGCUAACUACGUGCCAGCAGCCGCGGUAAUACGUAGGUGGCAAGCGUUAUCCCGAAUUAUUGGGCGUAAAGGCGCGCGUAGGCGGUUUUUUAGUCUGAUGUGAAAGCCCACGGCUCAACCGUGGAGGGUCAUUGGAAACUGGAAAACUUGAGUGCAGAAGAGGAAAGUGGAAUUCCAUGUGUAGCGGUGAAAUGCGCAGAGAUAUGGAGGAACACCAGUGGCGAAGGCGACUUUCUGGUCUGUAACUGACGCUGAUGUGCGAAAGCGUGGGGAUCAAACAGGAUUAGAUACCCUGGUAGUCCACGCCGUAAACGAUGAGUGCUAAGUGUUAGGGGGUUUCCGCCCCUUAGUGCUGCAGCUAACGCAUUAAGCACUCCGCCUGGGGAGUACGACCGCAAGGUUGAAACUCAAAGGAAUUGACGGGGACCCGCACAAGCGGUGGAACAUGUGGUUUAAUUCGAAGCAACGCGAAGAACCUUACCAAAUCUUGACCUCCUUUGACAACUCUAGAGAUAGAGCCUUCCCCUUCGGGGGACAAAGUGACAGGUGGUGCAUGGUUGUCGUCAGCUCGUGUCGUGAGAUGUUGGGUUAAGUCCCGCAACGAGCGCAACCCUUAAGCUUAGUUGCCAUCAUUAAGUUGGGCACUCUAAGUUGACUGCCGGUGACAAACCGGAGGAAGGUGGGGAUGACGUCAAAUCAUCAUGCCCCUUAUGAUUUGGGCUACACACGUGCUACAAUGGACAAUACAAAGGGCAGCGAAACCGUGAGGUCAAGCAAAUCCCAUAAAGUUGUUCUCAGUUCGGAUUGUAGUCUGCAACUCGACUACAUGAAGCUGGAAUCGCUAGUAAUCGUAGAUCAGCAUGCUACGGUGAAUACGUUCCCGGGUCU
rnacentral:rRNA from 1 species